GCAGUCGAGCGGAACGAGUUAUCUGAACCUUCGGGGAACGAUAACGGCGUCGAGCGGCGGACGGGUGAGUAAUGCCUAGGAAAUUGCCCUGAUGUGGGGGAUAACCAUUGGAAACGAUGGCUAAUACCGCAUGAUGCCUACGGGCCAAAGAGGGGGACCUUCGGGCCUCUCGCGUCAGGAUAUGCCUAGGUGGGAUUAGCUAGUUGGUGAGGUAAGGGCUCACCAAGGCGACGAUCCCUAGCUGGUCUGAGAGGAUGAUCAGCCACACUGGAACUGAGACACGGUCCAGACUCCUACGGGAGGCAGCAGUGGGGAAUAUUGCACAAUGGGCGCAAGCCUGAUGCAGCCAUGCCGCGUGUGUGAAGAAGGCCUUCGGGUUGUAAAGCACUUUCAGUCGUGAGGAAGGUAGUGUAGUUAAUAGCUGCAUUAUUUGACGUUAGCGACAGAAGAAGCACCGGCUAACUCCGUGCCAGCAGCCGCGGUAAUACGGAGGGUGCGAGCGUUAAUCGGAAUUACUGGGCGUAAAGCGCAUGCAGGUGGUUUGUUAAGUCAGAUGUGAAAGCCCGGGGCUCAACCUCGGAAUAGCAUUUGAAACUGGCAGACUAGAGUACUGUAGAGGGGGGGUAGAAUUUCAGGUGUAGCGGUGAAAUGCGUAGAGAUCUGAAGGAAUACCGGUGGCGAAGGCGGCCCCCUGGACAGAUACUGACACUCAGAUGCGAAAGCGUGGGGAGCAAACAGGAUUAGAUACCCUGGUAGUCCACGCCGUAAACGAUGUCUACUUGGAGGUUGUGGCCUUGAGCCGUGGCUUUCGGAGCUAACGCGUUAAGUAGACCGCCUGGGGAGUACGGUCGCAAGAUUAAAACUCAAAUGAAUUGACGGGGGCCCGCACAAGCGGUGGAGCAUGUGGUUUAAUUCGAUGCAACGCGAAGAACCUUACCUACUCUUGACAUCCAGAGAACUUUCCAGAGAUGGAUUGGUGCCUUCGGGAACUCUGAGACAGGUGCUGCAUGGCUGUCGUC
rnacentral:rRNA from 1 species